GGUUCAUUGCGUGGUGCUAGGGAAUGAUGAAUACAUAAACGAUUAAAAAACAUACAACAAUACAUUAAAAAAAAUGCGAAAUUGUUUCUGUGAUUGAAAGAUUCCUCAGAAUACACAAAAACAUAGGAUAAAGAAUCGACAUUAUACUACCUACAAAAUGUGAUAUUUCAGCUUUAAAGAUUGUUUUUAAUACACUGUCUGAGCCGCUACUUUAAACGAUAAUGACGUGUUUCACUCAUGCUGUAAUUUACCAAGCGCCAUUCAACUUUCGUUUUAGUAUUUAUAGAAUAGGAAUUUCCCACUAAUAUAUUGCGAUUUUUGCGGGAUUUCUCCACACAGUCCUUGCGAUGAGGGUGUAGAAACUAGGCAUGCAGUACUUCUUCUGGUUCGUGUGUGUGCUGGGGGUGGGAAAAGGGGCAUCCUCUGACUGUGCAAACUAUGGGUGUGUAAUGCCGGACAAAGAUGGAGUGUGUUCCAUGUGUACGGAGUAUUGUUAUGGGCGAAGCUGUAACCACAGCUGUGGCAGAGAGUGUGUAAAAAGUAUUUCAAAAACCUGUGAUCGAACCGGUCACUGCUAUAAGUGUAAUUCUGGGUACUACGGAAGCACGUGCGAUCAAAUGUGCCCUCCCGGAUGUGCAGAGACAUGUGACAAAAAAACUGGUGUCUGUGACACACACUGCAGCACAGGGUUUCAUGGUUCCGUGUGCAAUGAGACGUGUCCGGACCAUUGUAAACAUGGAACUUGUAUUCAGGAGACCGGGGUAUGCCAUCUUGGGUGUGUCACUCCCUACUCGGGCGAUUUCUGUAAUGUGACGUCAACUGGAACCCAAAACAAACAGCAACUCUCCUGUGCCAGUAGGCCUUCCUAUGUCGGGCUAUUAACCAUCCUCUGCAUAAUCUAUUCCGUGUUUCUUUCAUGAUAUUUGGAUGUGUGUUUACAUGUGACAAAGAACGUAAAAUACAGUUCCCGUACAUGUGUCGUGAUUAGAAUGUUGUGCAGUGUUCAAGCUGUCUCGAGAUUCAGGUAUCGGACUCAGAAAGGUUCCAAAAUGAUUUAAUAAGGAAUCCGUGUCAGCACAUUGUGAUGAACGUUGUUCGUGUGUCAUACUCGAUCACAUCAGUGAUACCAGGUAGUUAUAAUUUCCUUCUCGGGAGACUCACAGUCCUCAAGUCUCGUGUACCGCUCACGAAUCCAGUUAUCAUGCAGGUUUUCAUGAAACGAAUCCCUCUGCUUGGACAACUUUAAACUAUCAAUAGGUUGGUGUUUAUCAAUGUUUGUGAUGUCCCAUGUCACACAUCAGAGACGUAACAUCUAAUUUAACUGAACAUUACUGAAUUGCCUGUGAAUAGGAAGCGUAAACACAUGCUUCACAAUCUGUAUGAAGCACGGUACCCCAACAGACAACAACAAAGCGAUCAAACCAUACCCAUCUUGGACCAUCAUACUCUACAGUAUCCAGUCUGUGUUUCAUUCGUGAUGUGUUAACAUAUAUACAAUUUGUUUAAAUUAAUUUGUUUUUCAGUGUCACAGGAUUUUAGUCUCGCACAAUUUGUACAAUACGGUAUGGUUGAAAAAUAUGAUUUUAUAUUGAGUUAUGAAUAUGUAUAUUUGUGUCGGCAUACAUUCGAUUAUCUUCACGAUAUUAUGAGAUGUUACUUUGAGGUUUGUCAUGAUCAUUUAUUGAAAACGUGUGCUUCCUCAUGUCACUGGAAUGUGGAUAUUCCCAGACUGUAGAAGAAUUUGGACAUCUGUGUACUUGACCUUAAAUCACAGCGGUAAUGUGGCAAACGGACGCUCUGUUGCUGUGGUAGUUGACAGUGGUUUUCCAGUUUGCGUUUUUAUAAACAACUUGGUGUUUCUAUUUUUUAA
rnacentral:lncRNA from 1 species